GACGAACGCUGGCGGCGUGCUUAACACAUGCAAGUCGAACGGAAAGGCCCUGCUUUUGUGGGGUUCUCGAUUGGCGAACGGGUGAGUAACACGUGAGUAACCUGCCCUUGACUUUGGGAUAACUUCAGGAAACUGGGGCUAAUACCGGAUAGGAGCUCCUGCUGCAUGGGGGGGGUUGGAAAGUUUCGGCGGUUGUGGAUGGUCUCGCGGCGUAUCCGCUUGUUGGUGGGGUAGUGGCUUACCAAGGCUUUGACAGGUAGCCGGCCUGAGAGGGUGACCGGCGAAAUUGGGACUGAGGUGAGGCCCAGACUCCUACGGGAGGGAGCAGGGGGGAAUAUUGCACAAGGGGCGGAAGCCUGAUGCAGCAACGCCGCGUGCGGGAUAACGGCCUUCGGGUUGAAAACCGCUUUCGCCUGUGACGAAGCGUGAGUGACGGUAAUGGGUAAAGAAGCACCGGCUAACUACGUG
rnacentral:rRNA from 1 species